rnacentral:lncRNA from 10 species
AAAUGCCUUCUUUAUGAGAGCCCUGGUUUUAUCUACCGAAACCUGCAAAAGAUCAUCUACCUCUGAAGUCCUAAGUAUAAUUAAAUGACUAUAAAAAUGAUUGUUUUGUUACAGUAGUUACCUUGCUUAGCAAUUUAGUCAGUACCCCACAGGGGUAAAAUGAUGUGUUUCUUCUGCCUUUAACUUUUAAGGCAACAUAUGAAGUGAGAUGUGGUUAUGGUGUGUGUGGUGUGGUGUGUAGUAUGGAAUGUGUGUGUGGUGUGUAGUACUGUAUGUGUGUGGUGUGGGGGGGGUGAAUGUGUGAUGUGGUGUGUAGUAUGGAAUGUGUGUGUGGUGUGUAGUAUGGUAUGUGUGUGGUGUGUGGGGGGGUGAAUGUGUGAUGCAGUGUGUAUGUGUGAUGUGGUGUGAUGUGUAUGUGUGGUGUGGCAUGUGCUGUGUGGUGUGGUGUGUUUGUGUUUGUGGUAGGUAGAGUGUGUGGCUAGGUGGGGGUUGUGUGUGGGCUAGGUAGUGUGUGCAGUGUGUGUGUGGUGUGGUGUGUGUGCGUGUGGUGUGUGUAUGUGAGAUGUGGUGUGUUUGUGUGUGUGGUGUGUUUCUGUGUGUGGUAGGUGGUGCAUGUGAUGUGUUUAUAGUAUGGUGUGUGUGUGGUGUAGUGUGUGUGGUGUGUGUGUAGUGUGGUGUGUGUGUGGUAGGUUGUGUACCGUGGUGUGUGCAUGUGGUGUGUGUGGUGUGGUGUAUGUGUCUGUGAUGUGGUGUGUAUGUUUGUGAUGUGUGUGUGGUGUAGUGUGUGUGGUGUGUGUGUAGUGUGGUGUGUGUGUGGUAGGUGCUGCGUGUGGUGUGUGUUUAGUGCGGUGUAUGUGUGGUGUGUGUGGUGUGGUGUGUGUGGUGUAGUGUGUAUGCGGUCUGUAUGUGUGUAGUGUGGUGUGUGUGUGUGGUGUGGUAUGUGAGGCGUGGUGUGUGUGAUGUGUAUGUGUGUGGGGUGUGGUGUGUGUGAUGUGUGUUUCUGUGUGUGGUAGGCGGUGGGUAUGGUGUGUGUGUAGUGUGGUGUAUGUGUGGUGUGUGGUGUAGUGUGUGUGUGGUGUGUGUGUGUGGUGUGGAGUGUGGGAUGUGGUGUGUGUGAUGUGUAUGUGUGUGGGGUGUGGUAUAUGUGAUGUGGUGUAUUGUGUGGGGUGUGGUGUGUGUGUGUGGUGUGGGGUGUGUGAUGUGGUGUGUGUGUGUGGUGUGGUGUAUGUGUGGGUUCUGGAAUGUGAGUGUGUGCCAGGCAGAGGUGUCAUGUGGCCAACCCAACAAAAACCCUGGGCACUGAGGCUCUAGUGAGCAUGCCUGGUAUAAAAGCUUGCACACAUGUCACAGCUCAUUACCGGGGGAGUCGGGCACUUCCUGGGUGACUGCUGGGUGAGAACUCUGGAAGCUUGCACCUGGCUUCCUCUGGACUUCCUCCGUGAGCCUCUCC